rnacentral:rRNA from 1 species
AUACGGAGGAUCCGAGCGUUAUCCGGAUUUAUUGGGUUUAAAGGGUGCGCAGGCGGCCAUUUAAGUCAGCGGUUAAAUCGUGGGGCUCAACCCCAUUCUGCCGUUGAUACUGGGUGGCUUGAUUGCGGUCGAGGUUGGCGGAAUUCGUUGUGUAGCGGUGAAAUGCAUAGAUAUGACGAAGAACACCGAUUGCGUAGGCAGCUGACCAGACCGCAAAUGACGCUCAUGCACGAAAGUGCGGGGAUCGAACAGGAUUAGAUACCCUGGUAGUCCGCACAGUAAACGAUGAGUACUUGUUUUCGGCGAUAUAAUGUCGGAGGCAAAGCGAAAGCGAUAAGUAUUCCACCUGGGGAGUACGCCGGCAACGGUGAAACUCAAAGGAAUUGACGGGG